UACGAAGGGGGCUAGCGUUGCUCGGAAUUACUGGGCGUAAAGGGCGCGUAGGCGGAUAGUUUAGUCAGAGGUGAAAGCCCAGGGCUCAACCCUGGAAUUGCCUUUGAUACUGGCUAUCUUGAGUUCGGGAGAGGUGAGUGGAACUCCGAGUGUAGAGGUGAAAUUCGUAGAUAUUCGCAAGAACACCAGUGGCGAAGGCGGCUCACUGGCCCGGUACUGACGCUGAGGUGCGAAAGCGUGGGGAGCAAACAGG
rnacentral:rRNA from 1 species